rnacentral:lncRNA from 1 species
GUGUGCUAACUUGGCUAGCCUCAGAAAUCUACACGAAGGCAUCGAUGAUUUGAUUCAAAUGCCUUCAGUCCAGCAAACACUUUCUCAAGGAAAUUGGAUAAACGAGUUGCUUGAGGGAUCUCUCAAGCUCGUUGAUCUAUGUGCUCUUUCUAGAGAGAUUGUUUCGUUGACAAAGGAAUCUGUUCAAGAUCUAGAAUCGUCAAUCAGGAGAAAUAAAGCCGAAACAGCCACAUCAUCCGAUGUCAGUGCUUAUGUGGCAUCGAGAAAGAAGAUCACUAAAAUGGUCAGCAAGAGCAUCAAGAAUUUGAAGAGCUUCGACCAUAAGUCGACAACAGAUAACAAUUUAUGGACAAUGAUGAAAGAAGUAGAAUCCCAUGAUUUAUCAGUCCUAAAGUCGGUUUUAAUCCUAUUGUCUGGCGAAAACGAAAAAUCAAGCAAGACAAGUUGGUCGUUGCUUUCAAAGUUCUCCACCCAAAACAGCCGUGUUUAUUCAGAAAAUGGUGCUGAGGAUUUGAGUUCGUUAAACAUCCAAAAGUCAACAAAAAACAUGGAUAGCAAAAGCAUGUUGAAGCAGUUGAAGUCAUCGGAAAUGACAAUCCAAGAAAUCGAAGAGGGAUUAGAAGCCUUAUUUAGAAGUUUAAUCAAAACUCGAGUUUCACUUCUUAAUGUUCUUAGCCAUUAGUCGUCUAAUUGGCUCGGGAUAAUUUUCACAUUUUUGACCAUACCAUACAAACAAGUGUAUAUAUACAUCUGUAAAUGAGAUAAAAUAUCAAUACCAAUACUUCAUCAUCUAUAUAAUUCAGUGCACAAAACCUCAACUCAACAUCUUUUUUUUUUUUUGUAUUAUCUGUCUAGAAUUAUUGAUCUGCUAUAAUUGCCGAGAGUAUUAUUUGCACGUUUAGAUGUUUAUUAUCGAUAAUUGAUUAAGUAAUAACAUAGUACGAUAUGAAUAUUACGUACAUGCAAUAACUAAUUGAUCAUUUCUUGAGACUAGACUGUCAAGAUUCCUCUUGUUCUAAAUCAUUGAUCAAUUAUGUUAAUUAAUCUUACUCGUCGAGCCUGUAAUAUAUUUUUCCAUGUCUGAAGAUCAGUAACACCAGCUUAAUAAAAUAAUUUCAAUCAAAUAACAGAUCAUAAACACCAUACUAUUAAAUACACUUAAUCACUGUCAAGAUUCCUAAUGCUUCAAGAUCAAUGUAUAUUUAAUGUGUUAAAUUAAUUUUUAUUUAUUUUUAUUUUUAUCUAUAGUUUUUAUAAUUUAAGAAACGUACAAAGCCGCAAUACAUGUAACAUCUAUUAAUACUAGUAAGAACUAAUUAGAAAACAAGUACAAUUUUUUAUUUUUUUAUUCGGUUUUAAAAUAAAAAGCCGCAAUAGAUUUUGGGAUGAAGAUUUUGUUCUCAGAAUUGUAGCCCCCCAUUGUUUAUAUGUAUUAUCUAUUAAAACUAGUAAGAAACUAAUUGGAUAAAAAUAACAAUUUAUUUCUACAAAUGAUUAUAUAUUGAUGUUGUUGUGAAAUUUAUAGAACUUCAAUCCCACCCUUUGCAUACUGAUCUGCUUCACUUGAGUCAACUUUCACAUCUGAAGCCUAAAUAUGUCAAUAUUUAUUUAUUUUUCGGUAAAACAAGAAGAUUCCGUUUAAUGGACGUCCUGUUCUAUUUUUUUAUUAUUCAGCUAUGAGAACUAUAGCACACAAUAUAAAUAACCCGGUAGUGCAGCAGCGUGGUAAGUAAUUUAGAACUAUACGGUGUCAAAAAAAUUCACACGUUUUUUAGGUGUUUCUAAGACGAUAAUCAUUUUAUAAUUCAACCGCAUACUGCACGAAAACACGUGUAGUUUAUAAGUUAUAUAUUAGUUUGCAUAUUUUUUAUUUUGUUGGUUGUCUGAAGAUCAGAAACCUUCCAGCCUAGCACAAAAUAAUCUUUUAUACACAGUUAUGGAGACAUCUGACAUACCUCAUCAAUGACUCAGCUUUUUAUUACAAUUUAUGAAAUUGUUUUCAUGGCUGUCAAGAUUCCUCCUGCUCCAAUAUCGUGCAGCUGAGAUCUGCAUGAUUUGAGAUUUCGUAUAUUUCUCGAUUAUUCAAUAUCAUGGGGGACAUGCAAUUCGUGCACAUUCAUAUUUAUUUUUAAUUAUUCACAAGUUGAUGAGACAUUGUAGGUGGAACAUAUUCGUUUCGACUUAUUCAUAUUCGUCUCCCUUCAUAUAUAUAUAUAGCCCAUACCAUAACUAUUACUUCAACCAUCUAACUAUCUUCUUCCAAAGUCAUAUAUUCUACAUUCAACCUCUUAAACACUUCAUUUUUAUAUUUAAAAAAAAAAAGAUGGCUACUACUACUUACCAUUCUCGAUCGAACAGUUUCCCAUCUCAAUCUCAUCCAGCGAUCGAAAGCGUUGAAGACCAUUUAUGCAGAUUGAGGGCCGACUCAGAAUCCACUUCUGUGUGUUCUAACUUGGCUAGCCUCAGAAAUCUACACGAAGGCAUCAAUGAUUUGAUUCAACUGCCUUCAAUUCAGCAAACACUUUCUCAAGGAAAUUGGAUAAACGGGUUGCUCGAGGGAUCUCUCAAGCUCGUUGAUCUAUGUGCUAUUUCUAGAGAGAUUGUUUCUUUGACCAAGGAGUCUGUUCAAGAUCUUGAAUCCUCCAUCAGGAGAAAUAAAGCCGAAGCAGCCUCAUCAGCCGAUGUUAGUGCUUAUGUGGCCUCAAGAAAGAAGAUCACUAAGAUGGUCAACAAAAGCAUCAAGAAUUUGAAGAGCUUCAACAACAAGUCUACAACAGAUAACGAAUUAUGGACAAUGAUGAAAGAAACAGAGUCCCAUGAUUUAUCAAUUCUAAAGUCUGUCUUAAUCCUCUUGUCUGGGGAAAACGAAAAGUCAAACAAAAGAAGUUGGUCGUUGCUUUCAAAGUUCACAACCCAAAAUAGCCGUGUUUGUUCUGAAGUCGAGCAAGAAAGUGGUGCUGAGGAUUUGAGUUCGUUGAUCAUCGAAAAGUCAACAAAAAACAUGGACAGCAAAAACAUGUUGAAACAGUUGAAAUCAUCGAAAAUGAUCAUUCAAGAACUCGAAGAGGGAUUAGAAGCCUUAUUUAGAAGUUUAGUGAAAAACAGAGUUUCACUUCUUAAUGUUCUUAGCCAUUAGCCACAUUUUUUAUCUUACCAUAGAAAUGUAUACUAUACUGUAAAUCACAUACAAAAUCAAUACUUCGUUACCUAUAUAAUUCAGUGCACAACACCUUAACUCAACAUCUAUUUUGCUCUAUUAACUAUCUAAAAUUACCGAUCUGUUAUAUAACUUAUAAUUACCGACGAUACUAUUAUUUGUAUGGUUUAUAUAUUUACUAUCAAAAUUUUACUUAAGUAAUAACAUAAUUCAGCAAAUAAAAAUGUGAAUAUAAUUCAAAGCUUGAUAAUGCAACACUGCAAUCAUGUCCAAAGCUAGGUUGUCAAGAUUCCUCCUGUUCUUAAUCAUUAAUCAAUUAAUGGAUGAAAUGGCCAUUACUAAUGACUCACAACUAUGAAUAUUCAAUUAUUUAAAGAAAACAUAAACUACAAUUAACAUCUUUCUUAAUCUUACUCAUCAAGCCCACGUUAUGUUUUUCCGUGUCUGAAGAUCAUAAAUAAUUAACAUAUAUUAUAAGCUGAUCAGUAGGCCUCAGGACUUGAUUACUGUCAAGAUUCCUAAUGCUUCAAAAUUAGUGAAUAUAAUAUAUAUUAAUGAAACACAUGCAAUGUCAUUUCCCAAAAAUAGGACCCUAAAACAUAGAAAAAUGAGUAAAUAUUAAAAAAUGGGAUAUAAACAUAAAUUGCAGACAACACUUCACUUUUUCUGCCUUUAUGGGAUAAUAAAUAAUCACAAAUUUCCCAUGAUUUUAAUGGAUUAACAAUAAUUUACUAGCCAGCACGAACGAAUUAAUACUUUCUUCCUUGUCUGAAGAUCAGAACAAACUCCAGCCUAGCACUGUGACUACGUACUAGUAUUUUAUUCACACCGGAGCUUACGGUUGGGAGACAUUUCAUUAAUGAGUAAGCUAUAUAUGAAUUAAUUCAAUUUCAUGUCUGUCAAGAUUCCUCACUCUUCAAUUAUAAUAAUGCAGCUAGCUGAGAUCUGCAUGAUCUGAGUUUUUUUUAUUAUCAAUAAUUCAAGAUCACUGUGAAUUCGUGCAUAUUCAUAUUUAAUUUCCAAUUUUUCACAAGUUGACGCGACAUUGUAGGUGGAACAUAAUCCUUCUGUUUUUCUUUUGUCCCAUCUCCCUCUCUACAUAUAUACCUCACAACAUCUAAUUCAAACAUAUCUUCAAACAAAUCACAUCUUCUCUCAAACUCACAUACCAACACUUUCAUCUUUCAAAGAUCAUUUCGUUAAAAAAAAAAUAGGAUGGCUAAUUUCCAUUCUCGAUCUAACAGUUUCCCUUCUCAAUCUCACCCAAUAAUCGAAAGCGUUGAAGACCAAUUGUGCAGAUUGAGGGCCGUCUCAGAAUCCACUUCUGUGUGUUCUAACUUGGCCAGCCUCAGAAACCUACAUGAAGGCAUAAAUGAUUUAAUUCAAAUGCCUUCAAUCCAACAAACACUUUCUCACGAAAAUUGGAUAAACGAGUUGCUCGAGGGAUCUCUUAAGCUCGUUGAUCUAUGUGCUCUUUCUAGAGAAAUCGUGUGUUUGACCAAGGAGUCUGUUCAAGAUCUAGAAUCCUCAAUCAGGAGAAAUAAAGCCGAAACAGCCACAUCAGCCGAUGUUAGUGCUUAUGUGGCAUCGAGAAAGAAGAUCACUAAGAUGGUCAACAAAAGCAUCAAGAAUUUGAAGAGCUUCAACCACAAGUCAACAACAGAUAACGAUUUAUUGACAAUGCUGAAAGAAGCGGAGUCCCAUGAUUUAUCAGUCCUAAAGUCCGUCUUAAUCCUAUUGUCUGGCGAAAACGAAAAAUCAAGCAAGACAAGUUGGUCGUUGCUUUCAAAGUUCUCCACCCAAAACAGCCGUGUUUAUUCAGAAAAUGGUGCUGAGGAUUUGAGUUCGUUAAACAUCCAAAAGUCAACAAAAAACAUGGAUAGCAAAAGCAUGUUGAAGCAGUUGAAAUCAUCGGAAAUGACCAUUCAAGAACUAGAAGAGGGAUUAGAAGCCUUAUUUAGAAGUUUAGUCAAAACUAGAGUUUCACUUCUUAAUGUUCUUAGCCAUUAGUCGUCUAAUUGGCUUGGGAUAUUUUUCACAAUUUUGACCAUACCAUACAAGUGUUAUAUACAUCUGUAAAUGAGAUAAAAUAUCAAUACCGAUACUUCGUUAUCUAUAAUUCAGUGCACAAAACCUCAACUCAACAUCUUUUUUUAUUUUAUUUUAUUUUUUAUUUUUUUAUUUUUUUUAUCAUCUGUGUAAAAUUAUUGAUCUGCUAUAAUUGCUGAGAAUAUUAUUUGCACGUUUAGAUGUUUAUUAUCAAUAAUUUACUAAGUGAUAACAUAAAUUCAGCAUUAACAUAUGCAACCACUAAUUGAUCACUUCUAUAGGCUAGGUUGUCAAGAUUCCUCUUGUUCUUAAUCAUCGAUCAAUUUAUGGAUGCUAAUGACCAUCUUUUUCUGAUUUCUAUGAAUAAUGACUUAAUAUCAUGUUGUAACUAAAGCACAAGGCCGGCAAAAAAUAAAGAAAAAUAAUAUUGAAGUAUAGGUUGGUGUCUGAAUUAUUACAGAUCUAAAAAUUGUGUUUCUUUGUAAUGCUUGAUAAUUAAAAUAAUGACUAUUUAAAUUUCCGUCGAAUUAAUUUAAUCUCCAUUAGGACAAUGACGUUCCAAUUAUAAUAAUAAUAAUAAUAAUAAAAAAAAAAAAAAAAAAAAAACAAGAAAAACGAAAAUCAAUCAUGUUAAUUUAUCUUACUCGCCGAGCCUGUUAUAUGUUUUUCCAUGUCCGAACAUCAGAAACACCAACAUAAUCAAAUUAUUCCUAAUGCUUAGUGGCAGUCAAGAUUCCUAAUCUUACUCGUCGAGCCUCUUUCUGUCAAAUAACAGAUCAUUAUAAGCUAAGAAUGAGUUUAUGGAUGGCCAUAUUAUUAAACUUAGUAUCUGUCAAGAUUCCUAUUGCUUCAAGAUGAACGUAUAUAAUGCAUCAAUAAUCUGUUGGUUGAAUUGUUUUAUGUAUAGCUGUUUCAAACAUAGGGAGCAUUAGAUUUGCACACGAUCACAUUUAGUUGAAAUUUCCAGCAAAAACGAGACAUCUUAUAGGGGGAAUUGAUUCCUUUUGUUUCCUUUCUCAAUCUUCUUAUAUAGAGCUGGUGAACAAGUGACUACAUAACAUAUUUUCUCAAUGCCAAACUGUAAAUCCAACCUUAAACAAUUUACCAUUUUCUUACCAAAAAAUAAAAUAAAAUUAAGAUGGCCAACUUCCAUUCUCGAUCAAACAGUUUGCCAUGCAAAUCUCAUCCACUAAUGAAUGAUGUCGAACACCAUUUGUGCAGAUUAAAAUCGUCGACAGAAACAUCAACAUCAGCCAAUUCAAUAUGUGAAAACUUAGCUACCCUCACAAGUUUAUACGAAGGCAUAAAAAUCUGAUUCAGAUGCCUUCAACCAAAGAAGCCCUUUCAAAUGAAGAAGGCGGAAAUUGGAGAAACGAGUUGCUUGAAGGAUCUCUAAGGCUUGUGGAUCUAUGUGGAAUUUCUAGAGAGAUCGUCUGUUUGACCAAGGAAUCUAUUCAAGAGCUCGAAUCUUCUAUUAGGAGAAAAUCAGAUGACAUCAUCGCUUACGCGGCGUCGAGAAAGAAGAUCAAUAAAAUGGUCAUCAAUAAUUUGAAGAGCUUCAAUCACAAGUCAACAACAGCAAUCCCAUGCGAUCAAACGGUCAUUGGGAAAAUGCUAACAGAAACAGAAGCCCUUGUUUUAUCUGUCCUAAAAUCCGUAUUGAUGCUCGUUUCUGGUGCAAAAGGGAGAUCGAAGCCAAAGAGUUGGUCAUUGUUUUCCAAGUUUUCUCAAACGAGCUGCAUGCAUAGUGAAUUAGAGCAAGAAAGUGGUUCCGAUGAGUUGUGUUUUUCGAGAAAAGGAAUUGAUAAUCUCAGUUUGAAGCAGCUGAAAGCAUCGGAAAUGAAAAUCGAGGAAAUUGAAGAGGGAUUGGAAGACUUGUUUAGAAGUUUAGUGAAAACUAGAGUUUCUCUACUUAAUGUUCUCUGCUAAUUAGCCUCUUUUGCUUGAGCUGAUAUUCGACACUUGUAAUUAUCUAACUAACUACAGAGUUCUAUAUAUAAAUCUUCAAACCAAAUUCCAUUAAUUUGUCUGUGUUUUCUCGAUUCCAUUAAUCUUCAAAUCAAGUUUUAUAAUAAUUUACCAAAUUGCGACGAAGGAAUGGUUAGAAAAUAUUCAUAAUAACUUACUGAACAGAUUUUUUUUUUAGAAUAAGAAAUCAUAAGCCCUAAAAAAUCAGGCAUAAUCAGCAUAUAGUCGAGGAGGAGGAGAAAACACUUUGGUACCUGUGAUUCGAAGUUUCGACCGCCGUCUGGGAGGAGGAGGUGGAAAGCGGACGCCGUGAUUGGAGAAAAAAGGAUUUUGUCGGCUGUCGUGCGCAAAAGGAAGCGACGAAGUUGUAGUUUUCAGCGAUAGUGACGGCAAACGGGAACGGCGAUUUGCAGGUAAGAAUUUUGUGUAAUUACUGAAAUGGGCACGAAACGUUUCCGGCCGGUGUCUUCGCGUUCCCGGUUUCCGGAAAAACUCCCUUUUUUGUCCGUUUGUGUGUUCCCGUUUCCACUGCCGUCUCCGUUACUAACACCACAAUAUUGUUGUUGUCAUCAGGGGCGGACCCAGG